GUUGAAUACAGAUGAGAGUUUGAGUCCAUUGGAAUUGUCCCUAAACAUUUGGGUUUUGGUAACACUGAUAAGUGGAAUUUCAUUGAAGUGUAGCCAAAUGGCAGUAGAUUAAAAUGUGAAUAAGAGAAAAAAGUGGAGUGAAAAGUGUAUGAAUACACAUCUUUUGAGAAGUUUGACUAUAAAGAAUAGCAGAUAAAUAGAAUGUGACAGCUUAAAAAAGUUCUCUCUUCCUCUUUCCAAAAGAUAUUUGAAAGACUAAAUUUUAGGAACCAAGUCUAGAGGAGCUGACACUAUCUGGGACAUGCAAUUCUCAAGUGGAUGGAUGGAAUAUGAGUGUUUGAAUGUGAAUAUUGCAGCAAUCAAGCUUUUGCUAUGCAGAGAAGGAAUAUGAAAAGGAAUUAAAGAUCAGAUGCUGAGAAUAUUGAAGACAUGAGCAAUUUCCUAAUUUUCCUUUUGUGUCUAACCUAUUUCACUUGGCACCAGCAACUGAUUGUUAAAAUGAUAAAGUCUCAGCACCAAGAAUGUUGGUAAUAAUCCCCAUUUCGUCACUCAUUUGUGUUCAUCAUAUUUUUUCCCAUCAUGUGAGCAUAAUUUCCUCUGAUAGGUGUGUUCGUGAAUUCAUUUCAUGUACCUCUUUUGUGUCAACAAGCAUAAUAAAAAGCUAACCAAAAUUUGAGAAAUGUUAGAUUGUUUUAAGAUAAUUAAAGAGAACUAGAGUAAGAUAUCUGGUAUGUGGCAAAACAUUAAAUUCCUCAGACUCUUGAGAAUCUAUGUAUCAUCAUAAUUUUUGUCAUUAUUCUCAGUAAUGAUAGUUGUAUAUGUCAUUGUAUGGAACACUGCUUGUUAUCACUACUGGUUAUUGUCUGUGUUGAUUGUGUCAAUUUCAU
rnacentral:lncRNA from 10 species